CGUGCGGUUCUAUUCUGUUGGUUUCUAGGACCGCCGUAAUGAUUAAUAGGGAUAGUCGGGGGCGUCAGUAUUCAGCUGUCAGAGGUGAAAUUCUUGGAUUUGCUGAAGACUAACUACUGCGAAAGCAUUCGCCAAGGAUAUUUUCAUUAAUCAGGGAACGAAAGUUAGGGGACCGAAGACGAUCAGAUACCGUCGUAGUCUUAACCAUAAACUAUGCCGACUAGGGAUCGGGCGGCGUUUCUAUGAUGACCCGCUCGGCACCUUACGAGAAAUCAAAGUUUUUGGGUUCUGGGGGGAGUAUGGUCGCAAGGCUGAAACUUAAAGAGAUUGACGGAAGGGCACCACAAGGCGUGGAGCCUGCGGCUUAAUUUGACUCAACACGGGGAAACUCACCAGGUCCAGACAAAAUAAGGAUUGACAGAUUGAGAGCUCUUUCUUGAUCUUUUGGAUGGUGGUGCAUGGCCGUUCUUAGUUGGUGAAGUGAUUUGUCUGCUUAAUUGCGAUAACGAACGAGACCUCGGCCCCUAAACAGCCCGGUCCGCGUCCGCGGGCCGCUGGCUUCUUAGGGGGACU
rnacentral:rRNA from 1 species